AUACGUAGGUGACAAGCGUUAUCCGGAUUUACUGGGCGUAAAGGGCGUGUAGGCGGUCUUGCAAGUCAGAAGUGAAAUUCCUGAGCUCAACUCGGGCGCUGCUUCUGAAACUGCAGGACUUGAGUGCUGGAGGGGAUAGCGGAAUUCCUAGUGGAGCGGUAAAAUGCGCAGAUAUUAGGAAGAACACCGGUGGCGAAGGCGGCUAUCUGGACAGUACCUGACGCUGAGGCGUGAAAGCGUGGGGAGCAAACAGGAUUAUAUACCCUGGUAUUCCACGCCGUAAACGAUGAAUACUAGGUGUAGGGGGUAUCGACUCCCUCUGUGCCGCAGUUAACACAAUAAGUAUUCCGCCUGGGGAGUACGGCCUCAAGGUUGAAACUCAAAUGAAUUGACGGGG
rnacentral:rRNA from 1 species